CAGCACGGAGGGGGCGAUCGAUGCGCGGUCCGCGUCCCGGCCGCCGGGACCGCGCGGAGCCACUGGCGAGACCGACCAUCCACCG
ncrna:unclassified sequences c-di-GMP-II-GAG riboswitch